rnacentral:lncRNA from 1 species
AGUAUGCAUAUCCUUGUGUCAGAGUCAAUGAAUGCAAUUGUGUCUUUAUCUGAUGAAGUCGAAUCUGCUUUGCAAGUGGUAAUAAAAUGUUCUGACAAUUCCAAGAUUUUCAACUGCAUUCUGGGAAGAAGCAGGAAGAGGAUUCCCAGGAAGGUGUGAUGCAGAGCAUGGCCAGACCUCUCUACAGACAGGUACGGUUCCAGCUUCCCUCCCCAAAAGCCCAAGGGAAAUCCAGUGGCAAAUGGUAAGUGUUCAGGUGUUUUUCUGGCAAUGCCAAGUUGUAAUUUUGUGCUGAUUGUUUGUCUUACAUGUUGGUUUCUCUCUGUUUCUGCUCAAUCAAAGCCCAGCCUGGCUGUAGACAUGGGAUGUGGUCUUCUCAACGAAACAUGCAUGAGUGCAGUCAUCCCAUUUGGUAAAGCCAAGUAACAGGACUUCUUGUCUUCACUAAUGCUAACACACCUUGCACCAGCAAGAACAAAUUAGAGCCUCUUUGCAGACCUGGGAAUAGUGAUUAAAACCGAAGUGCUCUUCGUACUCAAGAGGCACCCAAAAAGGGGUUAACACGGAGGAAAGAGGAGACCGAGCAGGCAGAAUCCUGCCUUCAGAACCAGCACUUUCUCCUGGCGGGAGCCCUCCCAUUCCCCCAAAUUUCGGUAUCGCUGAGUGUUUCUCAUCCUGAGUACAAGUGUUAGACUGGAUCCAGUUGGUACUCAAAUUGCAAACACACUUUCACUCCUCGGAACGCCGGGCGAAGGGAACUUCUUUUAACUCCAUCGUGGCAGGUUAGGCGGCCAAUGCACAGCUGAUGGCCAGCAUGCCAAGUAUGGUGCGAAGAUCCGUUGUUUACAGUGAGGCGCUGGGCGAGCACAAAGGCUCAGACUGUCUAAGCUACAAUUUGUGCCUCAUCCCAUUACGGCUCCCCUAAAAGGCCC